rnacentral:lncRNA from 1 species
AUGGUCUAAUAUGAAUGAAGAGAUGGGUUCAAAUGUUUUUAUUUAAGGGUGGUUAUCACUUAAAACAAGGAGCUUGGUCAUUAUGCAAAAUUUAUCCAAGAUUAGAAGCAACUCAUGCAUACAUAUAUUCAUUCUCAUCAUUCUACCCCAUUUUGUUAUAAAUGAUCACAAGUUCUACCCUCUUUAUCAUCAUCUCAAAAAUCAAUCUAAACCUCUCACAUCUCUC